GUGGGGGAUAUUGGACAAUGGGGGGAACCCUGAUCCAGCGACGCCGCGUGAGUGAAGAAGUAUUUCGGUAUGUAAAGCUCUAUCAGCAGGGAAGAAAGAAAUGACGGUACCUGAGUAAGAAGCCCCGGCUAACUACGUGCCAGCAGCCGCGGUAAUACGUAGGGGGCAAGCGUUAUCCGGAAUUACUGGGUGUAAAGGGAGCGUAGACGGUAAAGCAAGUCUGGAGUGAAAGGCCGGGGCCCAACCCCGGGACUGCUCUGGAAACUGUUAAACUGGAGUGCAGGAGAGGCAGGCGGAAUUCCUAGUGUAGCGGUGAAAUGCGUAGAUAUUAGGAGGAACACCAGUGGCGAAGGCGGCCUGCUGGACUGUAACUGACGUUGAGGCUCGAAAGCGUGGGGAGCAAACAGGA
rnacentral:rRNA from 1 species